UGCCUGUGUCAAACAAUUUAUGCAAUUCUCAAGAAAUGAAAACCGAGUGAAAAUAUGAAUAAUUGAAUAGGACUGUGUUUCCUAAAGUCUCAUGGAAUAUUUCCUUUGUCUGAAGCUCCCUGGGGCCUGUGCUACUGAAAACACUGUCAGUUAAAGCUCUUCCAUUCUCCAGGAGCUGCCUCAGGAGUGAGAGCACAUUUAUCUCUGUUGUCACACCCCCUCUGCUGAGAACUCAUCUCCUGGCUGCCACUCUGUUUGGGACACCUGGAGGACCAUGAGGUCACAGCAGCAGCUAAAGGAGCAACAGCAGCACUGAAAGAAGGGAAAUGCCAACUCUUCUCUGGUUUCGUUACUUUUACUCUGCUGAUCCCCACCUGGCCCUCGGAUAAAAGCAUCAUCUCUGUACAGCAAGUUGGGAAAGUAGCACAGGGAAUGAGCCAUGGUUUGAAUGGAGAGCUCUGCACCAAGGAUUUUGUGUCUCUCAUCAGGGAACAGGAUCUGUGGUGACUCAGUGAAUAUUCACCAGAAGAGGCACGAGGACAAAUCAUGCAAGCUUGAAGGACCCUACCUGCUAUGAGGACAGCUACUGCCAGUAAAUACCAGUUUAGGGAGCUUUGAACUAAAAACUGUACACAAUACACAGAAAGUUUGGCUUUAUGUGACAAAUUGCAUCACAGCAGCAUAUUCUCAACUAAAUCACACCAUGGUCCUUCACACUAUAUCAACAAAACUCAAGAAAAGGAUAACAUUUGGGAUUCUGUUCAGAACUCCCAUCCUGGCUCUAUUUAGAGGUACUGUAUAACAACUUUGAAACUACUCAUCCAUUCUCACCUUCAGGCAGUUUUCCUACAAUGCUGGUUUUAUGGUGGCAC
rnacentral:lncRNA from 1 species